rnacentral:rRNA from 1 species
GACGAACGCUGGCGGCGUGCUUAACACAUGCAAGUCGAGCGAUGAAUUUUCUUCGGAAAUGGAUUAGCGGCGAACGGGUGAGGAACACGUGAAGAAUCUGCCCUCCACUUUGGGAUAACACAGGGAAACCUGUGCUAAUACCGAAUAUUGAAACAUAAGUGGCAUCACUGAGUUUUGAAAGAAUUUCGGUGGAGGAUGACUUCGCGGCCUAUCAGCUAGUUGGUGAGGUAAUGGCUCACCAAGGCAACGACGGGUAACCGGCCUGAGAGGGCGACCGGCCACACUGGGACUGAGACACGGCCCAGACUCCUACGGGAGGCAGCAGUGGGGAAUAUUGGGCAAUGGAGGAAACUCAGACCCAGCGACGCCGCGUGCGGGAUGAAGGCCUUCGGGUUGUAAACCGCUUUCAGUAGGGAAGAAGCGAAAGUGACGGUACCUACAAAAGAAGCACCGGCUAACUAUGUGCCAGCCGCCGCUGUAA